rnacentral:rRNA from 1 species
UACGUAGGGAGCAAGCGUUGUCCGGAUUUAUUGGGCGUAAAGAGCUCGUAGGCGGCUUAGCAAGUCGGGUGUGAAACCUCCAGGCUCAACCUGGAGACGCCACUCGAUACUGCUAUGGCUUGAGUUCGGUAGGGGACCAUGGAAUUCCUGGUGUAGCGGUGAAAUGCGCAGAUAUCAGGAGGAACACCGGUGGCGAAGGCGGGUCUCUGGGCCGAUACUGACGCUGAGGAGCGAAAGCGUGGGGAGCGAACAGG